rnacentral:rRNA from 1 species
CCUACGGGAUGCAGCAGUGAGGAAUAUUGGUCAAUGGGCGGAAGCCUGAACCAGCCAAGUAGCGUGCAGGAUGACGGCCCUCCGGGUUGUAAACUGCUUUUAUACGGGAAUAACGCGCCUUACGUGUAGGGCUUUGCAUGUACCGUAUGACUCAUGACCGGCUAAUUCCGUGCCCGCAGCCGCGGUAAUACGGAAGGUCCGGGCGUUAUCCGGAUUUAUUGGGUUUAAAGGGAGCGUAGGCCGAAGGUCAAGCGUGCUGUGAAAUGUCCGGGCUCAACCCGGGCCUUGCAGCGCGAACUGGAGUGCUUGAGUCCGCGGAAAGCAGGCGGAAUGCGUGGUGUAGCGGUGAAAUGCUGAGAUAUGACGAAGAACCCCGAGUGCGAAGGCAGCUGGCUGCAGCGGAACUGACGCUGAUGCUCGAAAGCGCGGGUAUCGAACAGGAUUAGAUACCCUUGUAGUC